UACGUAGGGUGCAAGCGUUGUCCGGAAUUAUUGGGCGUAAAGAGCUCGUAGGCGGUUUGUUGCGUCGGCUGUGAAAUCCCGAGGCUCAACCUCGGGUCUGCAGUCGAUACGAGCAAACUAGAGUGUUGCAGGGGAGACUGGAAUUCCUGGUGUAGCGGUGAAAUGCGCAGAUAUCAGGAGGAACACCGGUGGCGAAGGCGGGUCUCUGGACGGAUACUGACGCUGAGGCGCGAAAGCGUGGGGAUCAAACAGG
rnacentral:rRNA from 1 species